rnacentral:rRNA from 1 species
GAGCGUUGUCCGGAAUUAUUGGGCGUAAAGAGUUCGUAGGCGGUUUUUUAAGUCAGAUGUGAAAGGCUACAGCUCAACUGUGGUAAGCAUUUGAAACUGAAAGACUUGAGUUAAGGAGAGGAAAGUGGAAUUCCUAGUGUAGCGGUGAAAUGCGUAGAUAUUAGGAGGAAUACCAGUGGCGAAGGCGACUUUCUGGACUGUAACUGACACUGAGGCACGAAAGCGUGGGGAGC